CAGCCCCGGCCCCGGCCCCGGCCCGGGCCGUGCAGGGGGCGCGCGGGUCCGCGGGGCUCCGCGCCGCCCCGCACCGGCUGCUCCUGGCAACUUUGAUUCCUCUUGGGAGCGCCGGGCUGCUGGCGGGUCCCGUUCGGCAGCCGGGGCUGGGUGUGGUGGCACGGACGUGAGUCGGGUCUGCAGAGCUCGGGAGCUCGUGGAGAAAGAAAGAAAACAUUCACAUGCCGUGAAAGAAAUGAGGCAUUUCUAAGAAGGCUACUUCACUAUUUAUCAUGGAAUAUGUAUGCAAAUGAAAUGUCUCCAAGCACCUACAACUAUUGCAAGACUGUCAGCUGAAAGGGACAACUUUUGAGACCUCUGCUGCUAGUAGGACACAGCAAAAAAAUGCAAGUUUCUCUCUCUCUCUCUCUCUCUCUUCUCUUUGCUUUUAAUACCAGUCACAAAGAACAAGAUCUCAGUUGCCCAGGUCCAUGGUAGGUUGCCACCGCAUCACAAGGUUACAGCUUGUGUGCCAAAACACAUAAAAUUUCUUUGCAGGUGGGCAAGGGACGACUGUCCAAAGGGGUAUUAAGUCCAGUGAUUAAGGACCAUGAAAACACUAUAGUAACUUCAAUUAACAGACAAAAUAUAGAAACAGAAACAUACUGAAAAUGUUCAUGAAAGAACAGCAGGGGGGCAGGCUAACAGGACUCCAUUUUCAAUACUGUAAAACUAAGAAAGAAAAGAAACCCUAUAUUCACAAAUGAGUGAUUAUAUCCCUAGAUUAGAGUUCUAUAGGGAAACAGAGAAGUAUAAACUAUCUUGCUAUCAGAACAAAAUAAUAUAAUUUAAUGUUCAUACCUACCCCUGUUAUUUUUUCAAAACUUUGCUGAUUUGUAAACACUGCCAUUUUAGCCACAGAAAAUUAGAUAAUUACCUUAUGUGGGUGUCCUGGUUUUGGCUGGGAUAAAGUUGAUUUUUUCCUAGUAGAUGCUAUAGUGGUGUAUUUUGGAUUUAGAAUGAAAAGAAUGUUGAUAAUACACUUACGUUUUAGUUGUUGCUAAGCAGUCAAGGACUUUUUAGCUUUUUAUACUAGCUUGCCAAUGAGGAGAGGAGUGCAUAAGCGGUUGGGAGAAGACAACUGACCUAAACUGACCAAAGGGAUAUUCCAUACCAUAUGGUGUCAUGCUCAGUAUAUAAACUGAGGGAAGAAGAAGGAAGGAGGGGAUGUUUGGAGUGAUGAUGUUGGUCUUCCAAGGUAGCUGUUACACAUGCUGGAGCCCUGCUGUCCUGGGGAUGGCUGAACACCUGCUUGGGAAGUAGUGAAUGAAUUCCUUGUUUUGCUUUGCUUGCAUGCAUAGUUGUUGCUUAUUAAACUGUCUUUAUCUCAACCCAUGAGUUUUUUCAGUCCUAUUCGUCUGAUUCUCUCCCUUGUCUCACCAGGGCAGUAGGUGAGUGAGCAGCUGCGUGGGACCUCAUUGCUGUCUCAGGUUAAACCACGACAGUCAUUUUAGGCACCCAAUAUAGGGCUCAAAGGGUUCAAGAUAAUGACAGAUUUGAUUGACAUGUGCUAGAUCAAAUUUAUAACUGUUUUUGCUGUUUAGCUGUUAAUCAGCAGGCUUCUGUGCUUGCCAUGGGGCUUGCUUACCUUACUGAAUGUUAGAGACUUGUGCUUAUUAGAGGCUGCUCCUUGCUUUCGCUGCUUGCUAUACUGCUUAGGAUCUUACUCUGCAGGGCCUGGGAACAUUUUGAUAACAGCAAUGGCGAUGCGCCUGGGCUGGCAGAUGGCCAGGGCAUCACUGCUGUUUCUGUGCUGCUGUACCGGGCAGGCUGGAACUCCAGUGUGAACUUGAGUUGAAACAACACUGGAGACACCAAGAUCUCUGAGAAAAGAGGGAGAGGAGGUACUCCAGGAGCUGGAGCAGAGAUUUCCCUGCAGCCCGUGGUGCAGAUCAUGGUGAGGCCAGCUGCCCCCUGCAGCCCAUGGAGGUCCACGGUGGAGCAGAGACCCACCUGCAACCCGGAGAGGACUCCACACCAGAGCCACACCAAAGGAGGCUGUGACCCCAUGGGAAGCCCGUGUUGGAGCAGGCUCCUGGCAGGAUGUGUGGUUCCGUGGAGAGAGUAGCCCAGGCUGGAGCAGGUUUGCUGGCAGGAAUUGUGGCUGCGUGGGGGACCCAGGCUGGAGCAGUCUGUUCCUGAAGGACUGCACCCUGUGGAAGCCACCCAUGCUGGAGCAGUUUGUGAAUAGCUGCAGCCCAAGGGAAGGACCCAGCUUGGAGAAGUUCAAGAAGUACUGUCUUUUGUAGGAGGGACCCCAGGCUGCAGCAGGGGAAGAGUGAUCAUCAGAGAAACCUAUUACUCCACAUUAUGCAUGAUACUUCAGCUUUUGUGUUAGAAGUACUUAUUUACCAGAACAACGGAAUAGAGAGUAAACGGGAAGAUAAGUACUGAUAGACAUAGGAACACAAAAGAAAAAAUAAAUAAAAUUAAAGAGCCUUACAAGCACUAUAUAAUCUCGUGAAGCUCUACUUUAUGUUAUAUUACAUCAUGUUUUGUAUAACAUGUGCAUUUGUAACUCUGCCCAGCACACUGCAACUACUAUGAUGAGACCAGAGAAGGAGAAUACUGAGGGGGUGAAAGGCUACAUAAUAGUUCUUGUAAACCCUUGGCAUUUUAGAAGAGCAUUCAUAUGUUCUACAGGUACCUCCUGCCCUGAGCAGUGACAGUACUCUGUCCAGACUCAAAAAGCAUGGAAUUCAUAGAAGCAGUGAUUUUCUUGAAGGCUGAUAAGUGUUAGGAUUUAGAAAAGGUCUUCAAAUUUGUUUUUCAGCUCUUGAAGAAGUCCAUAAGCUGUUGAGAUUUUUAUUUAUUUGCAUGUAAAGAGCACAGUGCUUACCAUUGUUAGAGAAUAAAUAUUGUCUUAGGCCGUUAUAUGAUACAGUAUGAUAAUUUCCAUACAUCUAAAAGGUUGAUAGAAGGUGCAAACGCUAUGCUUGUAUGACUUUGUAUGUGCCGAAAGAAUUUUUAAAAGCUUUCUUUUUUGGAGAAAAAGGAAGUAUUAUGUUAGAAAACUUUGGUAGGAUAUUAUUAAGAUAGAUUAAGUAAUUGUUAUACAUUAUAGAUAUUUUUGGACUGCCAUACUCAGUGUUUCUUUUUGACUGGGAAGACAACUCAAAAAAAGAGUCUGUUAUCAAGAAAUAAAAUCAAAUAAUGUCAUGCACUGCCAUAUCACUUCAAAGAUACAGAAAAAAAUCAAAUCAUUUGAAGCAGUCAAAUAAUUAAAAUACUAUUCAGAUGGCAAUUGUGUCACAUUGUUCCUUGAAAGCUGUAGAAGCCAUAAUAGGUUCACUUUCCUUUUUAUUUUUUUUUAUUCAAAAAAUUGAAAAGAUUUUUCCCUGCUUCAUUUGUCUUAUGAACCAUGCCAUUGAAACAGACAUGUCAUUUAAAGACGACAAAUACACAGUAAUUGAACCAACACUAAAGAAACAAGCAAACCAAUAAACCACUUCCUUCGUGCGUGUCCCCCUGGCCAGCCAUAUCACAUGUGACACAUUUGAACAGCUUCUACGCUGAAUCAAACCUUUCAUUCCCAAAUCUGCCUGUGCAGAAGAAAGCCAAAGACCAGAUUUCACUUUCAAUCUUAAACCAUUUGAUUUCGGAGCAAGAUCUGUAGUCGGCAUUGAUAAAUAUUGUUUUGCCUAUGGACAUGUAACUCUUGCACCACUAAAUCUCUUAUCAUUCUGAUAAUUCUUUUUGCAGCAUUUUAGAGCUAUUGAUCAUACCUUUGUCUUGCCUGCAAAACUGCACCUCUGUCCCUUGAUGCUUGACUUACAAACUUACACUGUGCAUGCACCAAUUUUGUUGUCCUUCAGCUCUAUACAGAAUUUCUGUAAAUGAGCAGAGGACAUAAGUUCUGGCAGCAGAUACAUGAUGCUCAGCUCUACCCAUCCUGCACUGCAUUACAGCUGCCAGCCUGGAUAGGAAGGAGCGAACUGGUCAAAAGCAACCAAAGCUUAGUCCUAACUGGAGAUAGCAAAAAAAAAGUAUUACUUACAGGCUGUCCUGCCACAUCAUUCUUCAAGUGAACGUUGUUUUGUGGGCAGCAUAUGCAUACUUCUGGGUUGUACUCAGAUCAAGAAGUAUGAAUUAAAAAACCUUUCAGUCUUUUCCUUUCACCUCCAUUGAGUUUUGCCAGAAGAAUGACUUCCUGUGAGUGGACUGCAGCCCUGAAACAGAGCUGGAUGUGAAGUCAUGGAUGGUCAGGGAACUCCAACCAGCUCAGAAAGCUGUGGCAUCACCUUGGCUGCGCAGUGAGCACAACCAUAGGAGACCUUCCACUGGUUUCCUGUAGGAAUUUUAAUCGGCUUCAAAGAUGCUUUGCUCAUCUUUAUGGUUGGGUCCCGGAUGCUUAGGAGACUGCCUAAAGCUGUGGAAUAAUAUUUAUGUUCUGGCACAAUAGCACUUCCUAUGAUAAGGGUAAACACAUAGGAGAUGACAGACUUUUUAGGGACUGUUGUGGUAUUUGAAAUUCAAUUCUAUAGCAAUGAAGACCGUAAAAAAUUGUUUCCAGUGAAAACUGCAUUUUUGUAGUUCUGCAUUUUCAGUUUUUCUAUGUCUGUAGCUAUGUUAUGUUAACACCACUCCCCCAUGCUUCCCCUCCCCCCCAAUUCUAUAUGGUCCAAAUAUAUUGUUUUGCCUGCAUAUUUCCACCAGAUACCUUGUUUUGUAUGAUCUGAAAAUUACAGUUGUCUAAUAUUAAUAUUAUUACUAAUUACUGUGAUUGUUACUAAUAUUGUGAUACUGUGUAUUUAAGGAGGUGCAGUUUUCUGUGUACAUGUUGUAGAAAUAUUUUUAGUGAGUAUGCGGUGUCUGCAGAGUCAGAUUGUGAUGUCACUGAGAAAUAUCUGCAAAUAGCAGUGGUUAUUUGAUAAGAUGGAAUGAAAGGAAAACUAUUGUGAUAUGGUUCAGCUAUGUAGGCACAAACAAAGCAACCGGUUAACUAUGUAGUAAACUUGUACUGGUUCUUGGCAGAGGAAAAACAUGAAUUAUCAACCUGAAAAGGAUCAUUUCUGUUACCUUAGGGAGGUAUGAUGGUUUAAGGAAUUGUCAUCCCAGAUUUUCUUCUGCUGACACUUUAAAUAAAGGUCUCAGGCAAAUUUAUAUUUAUUAGUGAAACUGAGAAAUAAUCAUUGAAAGGUAAUGGCUUAGGAAGAAAAGGUUUACAAAACCUAAGCUUAUCAGUGAAAAAAGUGCAAUGUCUAGCAGACAGAUUGUUGUGUAAAUCCUAGAAAUAAAACCUCUUUUUACCUUUGUACUUGCAACUUGUAUAUUUGUUGCUCAGGUAAUUCUUCUGUACUUUUUCUGCACCACCCAGAUAUUAUAUUAUCUUCUAACUGUGAUCAAAAUAAAAAUAGCAAGCAGAAUAAGAAGUGAGGGGUUGGUGUACUUGAUAUAGCUUCUUUUACAUAUGAAACCUGAAUUUAAACUAAGCCAUGUACUACUUAUAUUGAAUUGCAUAGCCUACAUUAGGAAAAAAAAAAAAAAAAAAGAGAAUGCAUACUGAAAAUAAGAACUGUUUUAUCAUACCUAGUAAUUUUGGAUUUGCUAUUUUUUGUUUUAAAAUAAAAUAAAAUAAAAUAAAAACAAUUUUAAAAGAGAUAGAAAAGCUGGUCCUAAAGAUCAGCUUUCAAAUAUGAAAUAGAUCCUAAAGCCACAUGAUACUGCCUUAAACAUUAUCAAAAGCUAUUAAUCAGAAUAGCAACAAUAAUGAAAAACAUUUUACUGGAUCAGCCCCAUUUCUCUAUUUGACAGCUAGCAAAAAUGAAUUGUAAGAAAUCACAUUUUUUUACUUCAAAAAUUAGAACGGAAACAGCUUUCAUUAGAUGUAAUGAAAAAAAUCUGCAGAAAAACAUAUUUAUUACAUAUAAAGCAAUAAAUUAUUGUUACACUUACUUACAAUAAAAUCCAUAGGGUUUCCACAGGGAGUUGUUUGAAUUAAGGCAUAAUUUUUAGGCAAAACAUGCAACACCAAUUUGAAGUUUGCCAGCCGUUAGUAAUUUAGUGUCUUGUUGUAAAGCUGUCCUAACAGCUUUUGCUCAUCAUGUUAAAAAUCUAAGCUACUAUCUCCAAACUAAACUGACACUAUGCUAACUUACUGGGGCUUUGUCUAUAAAACUUACCCCUUCCAGUGCUGUCUUGCUUUCCUAGUGUGACUUGCUGAAUAUCCUGCUCUACAGCACAGGAUACAGACCACUCAGCACGAAAAUCAGUCCUAAGGGUCCUCACUGGGAGGGAUGUAGGUUUUGUGCAAGUGGUUUUGCCCAUGAGCCUGUGGAGGUGCAACAGCCCCAGCACUUGCUCAGCUGGCACACGCUGGCUGCAGCAGCUUUCUUAAUUCAUGGCCUAGUCUUAGCAACUGCAGCCCCAGCCAAGCACAUGGAGCCAAGUUCUGUUCUUAGUUACACUGAUGUAAUUCUCAAUAGACGAUGGCCCGUGGUUUGGUUUUUUUGUUUGUUUGUUUUCUUCAUAGCUCAUAUUAGUGUUAAUGUAUUUAGAUACAAAAAUAACACUUAUUCAAGCAACCUCACGCUCUUGUAAUAUUACUGUUACCACUGAACUGAUGAAAGUUUUGACUUUGGAAUUUUGUAAAUACUCAGUAUAUAAUUUGUUGCCAAAUUCAAACUUGUUUGCCAUUGACGUAAAGGCAACUCUUCUGAAUUUAUUGGAACAGCAUGUCAUUUCAAACUGCCUCGUAGUUUCAUUUAAACCAAAAGGAUCUGCUUGAAAAAGGAAUUUGGAAUAAUAAGUAUUUCAACCAGGCUGUGUAGAAAGUGUUGGUCUGUAUUUCCCUUCACUCUAGCACAAAUUUGGGAGAAUCGGUUUUUACUCUCAUGUAUAUUUGAUGCAAGACAGCUAAGAAAUGUGCUGAGGAUUUUUUUCCUGGUUUUGCUUUCACAUCUGAAAAUAGAAAGUGUUAGCAAUGCUUCCAUACUCUCAGUAAAUAAAUAUUCCACCUUAACUGUGUUCUGAAAUUUAUAUAUGUGCUUAAAAAGUGCCAGAUCAGUAUUUAAGCAAUAAUUAAAAAAAAAAAAAAAAAAAAAAUCCAUCUUUAUUAAAUACUUAUGGGUUUUGAUGUAAUGGCCUAGGGUGAAGCCAAGGGCAGAUAACACUCUACCAAACUGGCUAUUAACUUCAUUAAUGACUGGUUUCCUCAGGAUUAUUGCUAUUAUAAACUAAAUCCAGUAGUUUAGAACAGAAAUUUUAACAUUUCUGUUGCUCCAUGCCUUGCGCCCCCGCCACCCCCUUAAGUUAGCUAUGACAUAAUUUGAGGCAUAUUUAGGAGAACAGUUAUUUUUAAUUUAGCCUUUCUAUCAUUAUCUUUAUCCUGACUACCUUGGACAUAUGUAUUUUUAGCAAAAAUCCAAACCUAGUAGAUUAGUAGUGUAUAAUUCAGUUAAAAAUCUAAACACUUAAAUUAGGCAGAGAGGGCCUGAAGAGAGGAAAUGAGUUUACUCCAGCUUCAUGUAUGGAUAAAACUGACGCCAAUUAAAAUUCAUCUCAAACCUACCCGGGUGUGUUCUGUCUGCAUCUGUUAGGAACUUUUCUUUCCAUGCCUUUCUUUCACCACUGUUACAAAAGAGAAAUGCAGUCAAAUGGAAACUAGUGUAAACUUCAUGCAAAUGAUUCAUACUGCUUCUGUAUUGCUGUAUUUUACUGAAGCAGUGCAAAGGAUCGCAAUACUAGCACAAUGGUUAAAAAACAGCAGUAGAUUUUGAAUAAAGAGCUCUGCAUUCUGCUGGCAGCCGAGGAGUUCAAACAGAAAACAUGCCAGCAGUAUAGACCAAUGCAUUAUCACCCCCUCCCUCUUGCUGCAUAACUGUGCUUCAUAAUAUGCCAUAACAUUGGCAAGCACAGCUCAGAGCUUUUUAAGAACACAAGGAAGCUCAUGAAUAAUGGUUGAAUCAGGAAAGUGAUAAUUAAAUGAGACAACUGAAUGCCAGUGGAGUCCCCAGUGGAAAAUACUCUUCAGUGAAAUCAUUUCCACCUUUCAUUUCCCUGGUUUUAGCAGUACAUUGCUAAAGAUACUUUUCAAACGAGCAUUAUAACAAAAAUAUUAAAGUUCCCAAAACCGUUUGUGGUAUUUUCAUAUGUAACCCAUGUUUCAAAAUGCAAGAUACUUGUUGUGCUUCAAAAAUCUAAAAAACAAAAAAGCUUUCAUUAUUGACUCAGUGAGACAAAAGAUUUUGCCAUUUUACAGAACUAGUUUUCACAAUAAAAUUUAUAUUAAAAAAUGCAACAGCCGCUAAUGGCUAAAUUGUAAGCAUACUGGCUUAAAUGUUUGCUUCAUGUUUCUCCUUGUAUCGGAGGUGUAGUUGUUUUCAUUCCACCUCCAAUUCCACCUACUUUGUGGCUGCAGAGCAAACAUAGUUAGCUGGAGUCUCUGCUCUUCAUUUUCAUUUGAAUUAAUUUAUUUUUUUUUUUUUAAAUCACUUGACUCCUCAUUCUUGGGGAAAAAAAAAAAAAAAAAAAGCCAAAACUGACUCACUGUGAAUCUCAAUGUUGCUUUUCGAAGAAUCUCAGAACUUUUUUUAAAUCAGUCAUUCUUAUAUAUACUUUGACAGCUUUGCAUUCAAGGUUUACAGGACAUUUUUAGCAUAUGAAAUGAUGAAUUAAAAGGUCUGUGAAAAAUUGAUUUGCAGUAGGUUGUUUACGUAAAACACCAUACAGACUAUUAACAUUUAACAUACAUUUAUACGAUUUUUUGAAAAAUGGCUUUAUUACACUGGAAAAUGCAAAGGAAGAUGUAGGCAUCCUUAUACUAAAAAGAACAAAAGGUCAAAAGCUUUCUCACACCUACAUCACAAGAUUGCAGAAACAGAUUUCUCUAAUUUUUAGAAGGAGGUUGUAGAAGCCUAUCAACAUGAUUUAAUCACAGACCACUGUAGUAUUCACAGAGCCUUAAUCUACUGUAACCAAGGUUUUAUGUUGCGUACACAUAAAGACAUAAACUGCUCUUAACCUACACAAAGAAAAUGAGUAACAUGAAAUUUUGUAUUAUUUUCAAAUAAAGUAUUUUUGCACCUAUAUUUACUCACUCUCUUGCUUCUCUAAGUGGCUCAGAUAACUUGGCCAAUGCAGAUUUAAUAUCUAAUGGGUGCACACAGGUAUUCUGGGAGUCUCUUAAUUGUUCUAGUUCCUUUUUACACUGUGCUAUUACAAUCUUUUUCUACCAGAGGAAAUGACAGGACAAUCCUGUAGGCUAGGACAGCCUUCUGAAAGUUGUAAAACUGAAUCACCACUCUUCUUAGGCAGACAGUGUGAUAUGGAAUAUUGCUGUACAUUGGUUAUUUUACAGCCAGAUUGGUUUCCUGAUCCAGUUCACUGUGCAGGCACACAAGUGAUGGAACAGCAACUGAGGGUUCUUGCUUUGGUUGGCAUAACUGCCAAAAUGCAGGCUCCAAGCUAAUUGCUUUACACCAGCUUGAUUUCCCCCCCUCCCACUAGAAAUAAUUUAUUUCAGAACUAAUAAGAUUUUAAAAGUUUCAUUUUAAUGAUUUAUUUGCAAGAUGAAGAGGCAGGUACAGGAGAAGAACUGUUGGAAAACAAUGACUCUAAACCGAUUUCUUCCACAGAUUUUAACUGAUAAACCAAAAAAAGUAGCAGAAAAUAAGGUCUACUCUAUGAGGACACACCCAAAUCAUAUUUCAUAUUUUUGCAGAUAGAGUCUAUGACACUGGCAUUAUGGAAAAAGACAGAGAGAUGAGGUUAUGUAGAGUGAUGUUGCCAAUUACACAUUAGAGAUUAUUGAGGUUAUUUCUGUGUGACUUCAGAACUAUUCUGUAAAUCAGCUCAGAAAACUCCUUAUCACUUCCCAUAUGCUAAUCUGUAUAUAAAAAGACUGGAAAUAUGUCUCAAAAUGCUACAUUACGAAGAACUUUAAAAGUGUUAAUAAAGUUAUAGAUGUCAAUAACCUAAUACAAUCCUUUGCUUUCUGAAAAAAUAUUAGGUUGGUGCAAAAGGCAUUGUGGUUUUUGCAUUGUUGAAGUUUGCUGUUUGAUAUUGGAAUACAUUAUUUAAAAAAUGCGGUUAUGUUAUACAUCAUUUUAAUGUACUAUUCUCCUUUCAUGUUUAGAGGAUUUUUUUUGCUACUGACUUACUACUUACUGUUUAUUUUAUAUUUAUUUGAGACUAUGGAAAUGAUGUUAGACAAAAAGCAAAGUGAUUUUCUUAUUUGAGUUUAAAAUGGGUUGUAAUGCAGUGGAGACAACUCACAACAUCAACAACACAUUUGGCUCAAACCACUGUACAGUGGUGGUUUGAGAAGUUUCACAAAGGAGAUGAGAGCCUUGAAGAUGAGGGGUGUAGUGGCUGGCCACCGGAAGUUGAUAAUGACCAGUUGAGAGCCAUCAUCAAAGCUGUUCCUCUGACAACUACAUGAGAAGUUGCCGAAGAACUCAAAAUUGACCAUUCUAUGAUCAUUUGACAUUUGAAGCAUAGUGGAAAGCUCCAUAAGUGGGUGCCUCAUGAGCUGACUGAAAAUCCAAACAAAUCAUUGAAAUGUCCUCUUAUUCUAUGCAACAACAAUGAACCCUUUUUUGAUUAGAUUGUGACAUGCAAUGAAAAGUGGAUUUUAUACGACAACUGGUGAUGACCAGCUCAGUGUUUGGACCAAGAAGAACCUCCAAAGCACUUCCCAAAGCCAAACUUGGACCAAAAAAACGUUCUGGUCACUGGUGGUCUGCUGCUGCUGGUUUGAUCCACUAUGGCUUUCUGAAUCCCAGCAAAACCAUUCAAUCCAAGAAGCAUGCUCAGCAAAUCAAUGAGAUGCACCCAAAUCUGCCAUGCCCACAGCCAGCAUUGGUCGACAGAAAGGGCCCAAUUCUUCUCUAUGACAACACCCAACCACGUGUCGUGCAACCAACACUUCAAAAGUUGAAUUAAUUGGGCUACAGAGUUUUGCCUCAUCUGCCAUAUUCACGUGACCUGUCUUCUUCAAGCAUCUCAACAACUUUCUGUAGAGAAAACUCUUCCACAACCAGAAGGAUGCAGAAAAUGCUUUCCGAGAGUUCAUUGAAUCCUGAAGCAUGGAUUUUUAAGCUACAGGGCUAAACAAACUUAUUUCUCAUUGGCAAAAAUGUGUUGACUGUAAUGGUUCCUGUUUUGAUUAAUAAAGAUGUGUUUGAGCCUAGUUAUAAUGAUUUAAAAUUUACAGUCUAAAAACACAAUUACUUUUGCGCCAUCUUAACAAGGUGCACCAGGCUAACAAGGUGCCUUUGAUGGCACAGGUUACAAAAAUCUAUUUCAGCCCUGAUGUUUGGCUUUGUAAUCUUUGGGGAGAAUUUGUUUGGUGAAUAAGUCUAUAAUUAUCCUCUCCAAAAGGUUAGAUUAUUGCUCACACUUGGCUACAGAUUUAGGUAAAGAAUGUUUACUUUAGUCUGGAAUGUCAAUGAGGAGGAGAAAAAAAAGCAAACACCAAAAGUGGGUAAGCACAGACACAAGGCUUCAUCUUCAUUAGCAUUAUUAUUAUGUUUUGUUUAACAAUCUAUUUGAAACAGAAAAAUGGAAUGCUUCUUAUUGUGUGCACCUACAUGAAAAUGAAAGCUAAAAAUUUCACAUUUACACUGUUCUUUUACAGAAAUUUGAUUUAACAUUUAUCUAAAUAUGAUUUUUAACGAAAAAAUUAUAACCUUUAAUAAUCUUAAAAAGUUCCUUGUUCAUUUUGAAUUCCAUCUUUAAAGCUGUAUGUUAGUGUAUUUGUUUUAUUUAGAUCACAUUUUAAAAGUCCACAGUAUCAUUCCUAAUGCUGAGGGAGACUGGAGAACUCUUGAAGGUAACAUAAUCUAGUGAGCUAGGAGGGAUAUGAAAAACAAGAGCCUUUGAAUUGUUACCUUUUUCUUUGCCACUGCCUUUCAGGUUAGCUUGAGGCAUCUCUCUUAAACUUCUUCAGGAUUCACCGCUGUAGAAAAGGCAUGGCAAUAUUUAAGUAAUUCACAAGUUCAUUAGAAGAAAAGAUGAAUUUCUGUUGGGAAAGAAAUUUAUGGUUGUAAAACAUCAAAGGACUGAUUCUGCAGUAUUGGCUUGCACUGAAACUGUGGGUAAAGAGGCAUUUUAAUCCAUAAAAAAAUCUAGAUUGCUAGUAAAAAGGUCGGUUCUGGCCCUUCACUUCCCUUGCAUGACAUGUUGCAGCUGCACAGUGAGAUGGACCAGGUAACUUCUGGCUGGCAACCACCCUUGCAAAAAUAGUGGCGUUGGAAAAUGGUAGGGGCAAAAGGGGCAGCCCUUUUCGGAAUCAGAGCUGGCUCUGGAGAGAGCUGGCUCUGAAACCAUGCUCCAAGUAAGGCCAGGGAUGUUCCUUGAGGUGAACCAUCUGUCCCUGGGAGAAGGCCGGGGGAAUAACACCCUGAGGAGAACAUGAAAUGUCCUUUUAUAUCUGCUCCUGCAUCCCAGCCAUUUACAUACUCAGCCAAUAUUUCCUGGACAGACAGCAGACACAGAGACAAGUGAAACAUGCAUUUCCAACAUUGAACAUUUUUGUCUGUGUCUCCUUCCUCCUUCCUUUUGCUUUUCCUUGCUAUAGUUUAUUCUUUUAAACAGGGAAAACCAGGAAGAACUAAGAAGGAGAAUAAUCAGAUGAAGGGGAAAAAUAAAAGUAGAGUUUAACAGUUUAUUGAAGAAGUGACAUUUUUGGCUAUUUGUAAAAUCAUAUGUUGACAUUUUCUCUUAAGGAAUUGUCUCCCUCUCACUCUCUUUUUCUUUUGAAAAUAUUUAUUUCAAAUAUGUACAUCUGCUGUUUUUCUCUGUAUAAUUUGUCCAUGAGCGUGGUGUAGAAGUAUAUGCCAUCCAACACGAAUAAAACUACAGCUGGUUAAACCAGG